CUGUGCGAGGAGGGGGCCGGCGAUUACAUCGCGCGGGUGGACGAGCCGCAGUCGUGCUCGUACGUGCUGACGGUGCACACAACCAGGAUCUGCCACCACCCGUUCCUGCGGCCCCCCCCGGGGCUGGCCCCGCAGCCCAUCCGCUGCCAGCCCGCGCUGCCCCCCGCCCAGUAUGUCCAGUACGUGCGGGCACAAGUCUCUGACACCAAGCGGAAGGUUCAGGAGAUCUCGGAGGAGCUGCGCUCGCUGGACACGCGGCUGUGGAGUGACAGGGACACCCCCCCCCAGCCCCCCCGGGGGGCCCACGGGGACGGGGACCAGGCAGAGCCAGCCCAGGAUGUGGCACUUGGGGAC